UACAGAGGGUGCAAGCGUUAAUCGGAAUUACUGGGCGUAAAGCGUGCGUAGACGGUAGCGUAAGUCGGGUGUGAAAGCCCCGGGCUCAACCUGGGAAUUGCAUUCGAGACUGCUCUGCUAGGGUGCGGAAGAGGGAAGCGGGAAUUUCCGGUGUAGCGGUGAAAUGCGUAGAUAUCGGAAGGAACACCAGUGGCGAAAGCGGCUUCCUGGUCCAGCACCGACGUCAGGCACGAAAGCGUGGGGAGCAAACAGG
rnacentral:rRNA from 1 species